rfam:Lupinus angustifolius cultivar Tanjil chromosome LG02, whole genome shotgun sequence.
ACGUGCGAUCAUACCAGCACUAAUGCACCGGAUCCUAUCAGAACUUCGCAAUUAAGCGUGCUUUGGCGAGAGUAGUACUAGGAUGGGUGACCUCCUGGGAAGUCAUCGUGUUGCACCAC